rnacentral:lncRNA from 1 species
AUGAUUGUUAAUUGUGCUAAGGUACAGGUGGCACAAGUAUGGCUACUUGUGCUGCAUUUCUACCUUCAUCUUGUUAUCUGGACCUACCCUAGGAAUAUAUAUGGCUCAGAAGACUGCACAAAGAUUAGAAAAGAGGUGUAUGCGAUGAAUACAUGCCAGGGUCAGAUUCAGCCCUGUUGCAAUUUAAUUGAUUUCACUGAAGUUACAGCAGCUGUGAAUACUUGCUCAAUUUGAUUGAGAUAGUGAGAAACAGCAGAAGAGGACAAAGAAAGGAAUGAAAAGUGAAAGAAUGAAAGAAGUCAGAAAAAACAGCAAAGUCGUAGAAAUGUUCAACUAGGAGCGGAGGAGGGCUAAGAUAUAAAAGGUACAGCAGCAAAAUUGCCUUCUGAAAAGAGCUAUUUGGUGCACUGACUGCAGGAAAUAGAAGGUAGCAGAGAAAGCUCACAGAAACAUGGUGUUGUUCCCAAAAGCUUCUAAAAAAUAACUUACAUGUCUUCUGCUUUUGACUAGUUUUGGAAGAGCAUCAAUAUGUACAUGCGAGUCUUCUACUAGAGAUGGGCAGCAUAAUUGUGACUGAACAUGUGCAUUUAAUGAAGUUACCAAGUUGUCCUUGGUGUUUGCCUUUGCAUGCAGCCUAGGCUAGGUUUUUCAGUGUGUGUUUUUCAAGGGGGAAGCUUUUGAAGAACUUCUACCAGUAUAAACCUGUGAAAUCUGGAAUUUUAAUACUUCAGGGUAUUUGUAAAAGUAGUUAGUACUGUAAGCAUCUUUUUUUGUAAUAGUAUGAUGUAGAGUUUGUAGAUGGAAAAUCUGGAUUUUAUCUCUAAGCAGCGUUCACUGUGAAAGCCAAAGCUCUUGAGUCCAGCUUCUGAUUACGUUUCUCCUUUGAUAAUGCUAGACUAAGCAAACUUUUAAAAAGCUGCUCUUCUCUUCUUACUGUUAACAGAUACUGGAACGAAUAGCAAAAUGAGAACAUUCUGUAUCCUAUCAAAAGUUGUUAAGAGUUGAAAACCAGUAUAAAAUACCCUCAAACUUUAAUUAGUUUUCCAACGUGGAUGUUAACUUCAACAACUAAGUCUGUUCGUAAUCCAUCAAAAACUCACAUUUUGACAUACUGAAUCUUGGAGCUAUUUGGCCUUAACUUCAUGGCUCUGUCCCAUCCGUAGUUACAAUUAAGGGAAAACUAUUU